UAUACACCGUGUUUUUAUUGAAUUCCGUUAACUUCGGGAUAAAAUUAAAUUAUUAUCUCCGAAAUGGAGUUAAUUAGAAUACCGGUGUCUUUGAGAAAGUUACUAAAAUUUAAGUUCAGGAAUGCACCCUUGAAAAAAAAACACGGUGUAUA